CAAGAAUAAAAGCAAAAAAAUUCCUCUGCAAUGAGUUGUUGUGUAGUGCCUCACGUCAUAGAGUUAACAAAUUUAACAAACAAUUCCAUCAUCAAUCACGAAUUGUUACUAAUUAAAGGAAAAAUAAGUAAGCCAUGUUCAUCUAAUAAACAUAUCCAAUUGAAAUCUAUAAAUGGUCAUAAUAUAAUUAGUAGCCAUAAUGAUGAAGUUCGUGUAUCCUUUGUUAAUGGUGAAUUUAAAAUACUUUAUCGUUUUCAUGGUAGUGGUGAUAAUGUCACACUUACAGAAGAAUUCCAAAUAUCCUAUUGCAAUGCAACAAUAAAAAUCAAAUGCCAUUAUCGACCACAAGAGAAUCCCUACAAAAUUCAACCAUUCUAUAUUGUUUGUAAGGGUCAUGAUGGUUCAUUUAACUCAUCGACAACCACAAAGAAUGGUGGUGGCAAUGCCUCCGAAGCUUGUGCUAUUAUCGAUUUAAAUAUGAAAUUGCUGCAAUGUUUAUAUGCAGAAAAGUUAAAUGAGGCUGGUUUCGAGAGACGAACCUUUGUCCUUAAAUCACGAUGUCAGAUUUUUGAAAGUAACUUGCCUGUUGAAGAGGCAUUAAACUUGUCACAAGAAGAAUUGUGGAAUAAAUUUGCUUAUGAGGUAAUUAAUUCCGAGCAUGGCAAUGAUCCUAAAGUAAAGUUUGUUGCUUUCAUUGGUUGCACUAAAUAUGAGCCAAUAACCGAUGGAGACUUCUCCUACGAAAACAUAAAGCGACACAUGAAAGGUAAUGCUGCCUUGGGUGGAGGUGGAUUGGCAUUAUUUGGUUCAGGGUUUUUCUACUCGUGGCCAAGUAAAUUUGAAGAUAUUAUAAAAUGUUUUGAAAAUGAUGAUAAAGUUGAUUUGGAAAGAUUUGCUGAUGAUAGCAAUUACCGGCGGACAUAUGCUGGAGUGUAUGCUACAAGUCUGGGAGCAGUUUGUCAUGAAAUUGGACAUAUAUUUGAUUUGGGUCAUACAAAUGAUGGAGUCAUGGGAAAUGGGUUUGAUUACUUAAAUAGAGUAUUCACAAUUGAUAAAUUGACUGAGAGUUUGCCUGAUAGAAUAAUUGGACCAUCACAAAAACAGGCAACAGAUGGGCCUGUAAGAUUUACCAAAAUCAAAAGAGGAGAACAAAAUCGUUUUUUAGAAAAGUACCAUGAGCAAAAGAGUGGUGGUGAUUCUUUUUAUUUUACAAGAAAUUGCGCAAUUAUAUUAGCCCACAAUCGUUGGUUAAGAAAUGAUAUAACACAACAUAUGGCUAGUGCUCGUAUAAAUCAGGACAAAGAGAAUCGCAUUGUUAUGACGAGUAGUCCAUUGAAAUUGAUAGAAAUUCGUUGUACAGCGGAUAGUCUUGUUGUAGAUUAUUUUGAAUUUGAUAAAGAUAAAGCUUUAUGUGAAUUUGAUCUUCCAAAGCAAUUUGAUUAUACAAAACAUCAUGUGUUUGUGAUUUGUAUUGAUGGAACAAGUAAACGAUUAGAUUUUGAUUCUUAAAUGAAGAAAAAGAUGAAAGAUGUUGUUGUUGAAAACUUAUACAUAUCCACACAUUUAUAGUGAACAUAAAACUCAGCAAAAAAUCCAUUUUAAUGUAGAUUCUAGAGACUUCUAGAGUUUGCUUUUUUGGCUUUUUCUAUAUGAAAUAGAAAAGAAUAUUUAUGUGCCAAAUGCUUUGUUAUAAUUGACUUAUAUGUACCUUUUAAAAACCACAGCUUGUAUUCAUUUUUCAAAGGCACUUAUAUAAAUGCUUGGAUGUUAGCAAUUAGAAAUAAAUAAAUAUAAAAAAGGCAUUGUCAUUUUAUGAACCAACAUACAAUGAAAUAAGACAAAAAAUCGAUAUUAAAUAUUAAAUUGAAUCGAUAAAUGAAAAGCUUUAACAAAGAUAACGAGGAAAUUAGAACUGUAAGCACAGCAAUAUGAUACAAAAAAUUGUACUAUUUAAUCAGACUAUUGCUUUAUUUAUGUCGUAGCUUCGUAUACGUGUGUUAAAUCUUAUAAUCUUAAUAUUAAUAUGCCAAACAAUAGCGUCCAAAAGAAACUAUAGAAUUAAAAAUUAAGUAGUAACAAAUUAUAGUAAAACACUUGUAACGUUAUUUUUUGGAUCUCAGAGUAACAGAGUAACCAUACAAAGCUUUGAAUUCACUUCCAGAGGACAUUAAACAUUUAAUAUAACCUAAAAUGUUUUUGGUAUAAGUUUGCUAACACUAAAAAUAUUAAAUGCAAAGGUUAAAGCUUAUAAAAUGCUUUAAAUAACAAGUUAGUGUGACAUUCCUUGUAAAGCAUAUAAAUUGUGUUUUGUUAUAUGAAAAUUUAUAUUUAUUCAUAUCUUGUGUGUGAGUCCAAAUGCUGAGUAUAAAAACUUUAAAAUAUCUUACUUGCUGCUAUAAUAUGAACAUGCUUUUUGGUGGGACUAUCACUUAUCAUAUGAAAUUGGGCAAAGCUGAUAAAUAAAUCACUAUCGAUAAAUCAGUCAAAAUUUAUUCGUCUGUUAGAGAACAUUGUUGUGUGUUGUGUUAACAAAAAACAGUUUUUUAAAAUG